rnacentral:rRNA from 1 species
ACGUAGGGGGCAAGCGUUGUCCGGAUUUACUGGGUGUAAAGGGCGCGCAGGCGGAAUGGAAAGUCAGUGGUGAAAUCCUACAGCUUAACUGUAGAACUGCCUUUGAAACUGUUAAUCUUGAGUGCGGAAGAGAGAGACGGAAUUCCAGGUGUUGCGGUGAAAUGCGUAGAUAUCUGGAAGAACACCAGUUGCGAAGGCGGUCUCUUGGUCCGUUACUGACGCUCAGACGCGAAAGCUAGGGUAGCAAACGG